rnacentral:lncRNA from 1 species
AUGCCUGCUUUUCUGAUUUCACAGAUUUCUGAAUUCUUGGGAGCAGCAGCUUAUCAUGCCGAGGUCACCUGUUCAUCUGUUUGUUCCAGUACAGCAGUGUCAUUACUGUGUUGCUCUCCAGCAUUAGGCUGCAGCUCGGAAGAGGCAAGAGCCGUGUUCAGCUUACUUAUACUGAAGCGCUGGCUCGCCUGUAGAUGCUGCCCAGUCUCGGGACGUAUUGCUUUCAACACAGCCGGAGGCGCAGAGAAACAGGCUGUUGGAGUUGUAAUUUGUAGGUGUUUUGGAGGGGUGCUUUUUGAGAUGAAGAUGCCUGAGUAGUUCGGAUGCCAGCACUGCCACAGAGCUCCUCCGCUGUUGAAUAGCUGCUCUCAUGCCUCUGUGCCCAGGGAGCCUUGCACUUACACAGGCAGGUGGAAACCCUCCCUUGGCAAACAUGUCGAGGGGCUGGUUCUGCAGACGCCUGCCACCAGCUGCACUAUGUCCUGCUGUAGGUAAUGCUGCUGCCUCCUGACAUGAUUAAUAGCGCUAAGCCCCGAGCUUGAGUAACAGCUGUUGCCACGAUCAGGCCUCCAAAUGAGGUGCCAAAUAGCAACGAAGCAAGAAAGCCCCCAAACCCCAGCGAGGCCAAAAAAAAAAACAACCCAGGGAAAAUAAUUCUUGUUUCUGUGCCCUGGGGUGUAAAUCCAGAACACCUCUGUGCAUCAGCAAAGUCAGGCCAACAGCGUGGGUUUUCACCCUGGAUGCUCAGGACCCUUCAGAGCUGUUGGUCCUGGUGGCUCCGAGCAAGGGGGCAAAUCCCUGCCUGGCACAGGCUGCUUGUGCUGCAGCACUACCCAGGGAGCUGCAGAGGCUGCCUUUGUGUAACCAAGGUGUUUGCCGAAAAAAACAGGUGUUGUUUCUGCUGCUGGAUGUGAAUGCUGUGAGCUGUCAUCUUGGCUUUCUCUUUUUUUAUUAUUUAGAAGACAGAACAAAUACGAGAAAAUGAACUGCAAAUAAUGACUAACAGCACUUCCAGUCCAAAUGUUUGCUCACAUAAGCAUGUGGAAACUUUGAAGGCUUGUGAAUGGUUCUGGCACUGCUUAUAAUACAGCUGGGCCCAAAGACAGUUGAGAUGCUCCUCUCCCAGUGUCAGAAGAGCCUAGGGCACUGGGAGGUGCAUUCAGGGCUUCUCCCAGGUCCUCGGAGAAGUGGGGUGAUGGAAAGUCAGCGCAGUCCAAAGAUGUAGUGGUGGAUGUGCUGUGU